UGGGAAGGACGGCCUUCCUGCCCAUCAGCACACUUGUCGCGGGGACGACCCUG
rnacentral:ncRNA from 1 species